UUCGAGUGGCGGACGGGUGAGUAACGCGUGGGUAACCUGCCUUACACAGGGGGAUAACACCUGGAAACAGGUGCUAAUACCGCAUAAGCGCACAGGGCCGCAUGGCCCGGUGUGAAAAACUCCGGUGGUGUAAGAUGGACCCGCGUCUGAUUAGCUUGUUGGCGGGGUAGGGGCCCACCAAGGCGACGAUCAGUAGCCGGCCUGAGAGGGUGAACGGCCACAUUGGGACUGAGACACGGCCCAAACUCCUACGGAAGGCAGCAG
rnacentral:rRNA from 1 species